AUGACACUGCAAAAAUUUAUUGUCUGCAUUCCCCUAGAUGAUCAGAGCUUCUCCUCUCAAAACUCAUCUCUCUCUCUCUAAUCUUCACUAUUCUUUCUGGGUAAACAUCAACGAGAAGCACCAAAUUUCUCCAUUGUUAUUCUUGCAACUUAUCUGGAUUCCAAAAUGUUGAGCAACCGUCAUCAAUAAAGGAUUGUCAGCAGCGGCAUUAUCUCCGGCAGAGGUGUAACCACCGGUUUUCAUACAGAUCCGGUGGUUGUCACUAGAUUGAUGAGGUUUUGGUUGGGAUUCGCGACUUGGUGAGAUGUACAGGUUAUAAGGUUGGUGACCAAGAUGAAAAGCUGGCAGAAGGUAUCAAGCUUUAGCUGGGGUGUUCGAGAGAUUUACCGAGAGACCAAUCAAAGUGGUGAUAUUGUUGAUAGUUCGGGUUCGGUUACGGAUGUGUCGUUUUCGAAUAGUACGAAAAGGGUGUUUGAAGUUGCGGUUGAGUAUUCAAGAACUAUGGGGAAAAUAAAUAAGAAGAGUGCAGGACUGGGGAUGAAACAUUUCGAUCUUAAUUAAGUGGGAGAAGUAGAGUUGCCGCGGUUCAUAACCAGUUUGAACAGGCCAAUUGUUUGUAAGUUUGUAAUAAAGAGGUACUAAAUUGGAAAUUUUAAAUGUGAUCUUAUACGAUAUAUCAUUAUUCUAGAGAUCAAUGAACUGUAAGUCUAUAACCCUUGCAUUUCUUCCAUAUAAACUAUUAAGUUGGGUUGAAUUUGUUCUUAGUUUUACAUGAUAAACUAUUCUUGCUUUUAACUGGUUUCAUAGAUUGACUUGUAAUCAAAAUCACUAAUAUGGCUUUAUUUAUAUUCAGUUGAUUUUAGUAUGUGGUUUUUAAACAAAUAGAUUUUCAAGAGAACAGGUUUGUUGACCUAUGGUUUGUUAUGUUUAAGGAUGUGUUAAUGUAUAAUGUACUAUAUUUAUGGAAUCUUCGGCACCGGUUUUGAUGUGAAUAAGGAUCUAUUGACUGAAUUAAAUCGCAACUGACCACCAAAUUUUACGGCUUUAUGAUUAUUUUUAUUUUCAUGUAAGUAGUUGGAAGUAAUCUGAUGGUUGAUGCAAUAUAUGUGCUUUUUCUAUUAAUUUAUUAAUUAAUUUCUUUAAAAUUUUACAGGAACGCAUCUUCAUCCUUAGUGAACUGGUUCGUGUUAUCUUAUAUAAAUUUCAAAUAUACAAUAAAUAAUCUGGUAGGUAGCCUUAUUUUACCAUGGCCAGGCAACAUGUUUGUUUAUUAGCACCAUUAGCAGUUGGCACAAAGGGUUUGGGGCCAGGUUGGGUAAAAGGUUCGAUACCAUUUACUUAUAGACAUGUAUGUUGAUUCUAUGGGUCAUGUUUUAUCUCUAGCGCCAAAUGGGUUAAUGGGGUUGAAAGUCUCGUGUAGAAUGUUUUUAAGCAUACAACCUACUAAUUCGUUUUAUAAAAAAAUAAAUUAUUGUUGAGUAAUAACAGAAAGAACAAGGACACAAUUUUCUUUAUUCCAUUAAAAUGGAAGGUUUGGCCUUUUUAGUUUAUAAAUAUUGCUCAAUUUGUACUUCAAACGUUACAGAAUUAAUCAGCCAAAUUAAAUUGUGUUACAACUUAAAGUACAAUAUUUGACUUUAUAAAGUCAAAUUCACUUUAUUUUCUGUGUUAAUGUCAAAAUGCAGCUAAGAAAUCCAGUUUUGGAGUAUGAUGAGGAUACUCAUGUUAAUUAUACAACCACAAAGUAUUGAGGUUGACUUUACAAAGUCAACUCAUUCGGCUGGCUCAACCAUUUUGGUGGCGUAAAGCAAAUUCAAAAACUCGAGGCCUUUUUCCAAAAAAAAAAAACCACUAUUUGAGAAAAAAACCUCUUUUACCCGGGCUUGGGACCGACAAAAUAAACUAAAAGGUUUAUUGUUGGCGAAGUUAACUUAAUCUUUUUGUAUUUUUAUAUAUUUUUUGUAUGUGUAAAGAUAAGUUCAGCCCAAUCCAAAUAUCAUAUAUAAUUUUUUUCAAGUUGGAGGCCCUAUUGAUUUGGAGGCCUAAAGCCCAAGCCUCAAAAUACUUGGGCUUGGGCCGGCCCUAAUUCUAAUGCAUGUCAUAUUUUUCUUUCUUGAUGUCAAAAUGCAGUUAGGAAAACCAGUUUUGGAGUAUGCAACUGAUUUAAACUCGUGGGCCGAGUUCUUUUGGUCUCAUGGACUUAUAUCGGAUUCGACAUAUAAAUUGUUCACUUCUGUAUGUAAUUAUUCGCUAUGUGAGUGAAUAUUAUAGAGAUUCGGUCUCUCCAAUAUGCGCAAAAGUUUAUAGUGAAGUAAGCCGCGAAACCAGUAGAUUUGUGGACAAAUAUGAUGUCACUCUCGAUGUUUGUAUUCCGUCGGCACUCUCACAGUCCAAGAUCAUUGUUCCUCAGCAAGUAACCGAGAGGGUCGAUGUUUGUGUGGAAGAUGAAACCGUUAACUAUCUUAACCGACGCGAUGUCCGUAGAGCGCUGCAUACGCGUUUGGUUGGUGUACGGAAAAUGGGAUGUUUGUAGCAAAGAUGAUGCAGUUAAUGGAAUGGCAUGGAUGAGAGGUGAAACCAGGGACCGAGGACUCAAUUCUCUAAAUUAUUAAUCAGCUGGCAUUCUUCCUUGGAGAAAACAAAGACUCGAUCCGUUGUUCCGUCCUCCUUUCAAUUGUAUUUCCAUUUUGAAUUGUUUAUUUAAAGGUACUCAACUAUUUUUAAAUUGUAUUUCUACUUUAUCACCAAUUUAUGUAACAAUAUGCAUAACUGGACAUCAAAUGAAGAUCUUUGUUGCACAA